rnacentral:rRNA from 1 species
CAAUAGCGUAUAUCACAGUUGUUGCAGUUAAAAAGCUCGUAGUCGAGAUGAAUACCUGGAGAUCCAGCUUCCAAGGGAGGCAGGUCAACAGGUUAGGGCUGUAAAGCCUCAGUUACUUUGAGAAAAUUUGAGUGUUUCAGGCGGGCCAGUGCUGGAAUAGUGUACCAUGGAAUAACGAAAUGGCUGACUUCUCGUUUCUUCUUUUUUGGGAAGUCAGUACGUGAUUGAUAGGAACAGUCGGGGGCACUCGUAUUGAACAGUCAGAGGUGAAAUUCUUAGAUUUGUUCAGGACGAACCGAUGCGAAGGCGUCUGCCUAGGAUGUCUUCNGUUUG